GCUCUCUUGGCUCAAUGGUAGAGCAAUUGAUUUGUAAUCAAUGGAUUGUAGGUUCGAGUCCUAUAGGGAGCUUA
rnacentral:tRNA from 1 species